rnacentral:rRNA from 1 species
UACGGAGGGUGCAAGCGUUAAUCGGAAUUACUGGGCGUAAAGCGUGCGCAGGCGGUUUUGUAAGUCUGUUGUGAAAUCCCCGAGCUCAACUUGGGAAUUGCAAUGGAUACUGGCAGGCUGGAGUAUGGUAGAGGAAGGUGGAAUUCCCGGUGUAGCAGUGAAAUGCGUAGAGAUGUGGAGGAACACCGAUGGCGAAGGCAGCCCCCUGGGUUAACACUGACGCUCAGGCACGAAAGCGUGGGGAGCAAACAGG